CUUGGGGUGGCAAGAAGAAUAGUACAUUUCUUCAUCUAUAUACAGCUUUUCAAAUGGAAAGAGGAUAAAAGACUUGGGAAGCAGCAGAUAUUUGACAAUCACAUCCCAAUUAGUGCGGGGAAAAAAAUUCUCUAAAGUAGUCACAUGUAUCCAAAAUUGCACUAUUUAAAGUCUUAAUUAUGUAAAAUAUGGUACUGAUUCCAGUCCAGUAUAUGGAAACCCUUCAUGGGGAUUCAUUAUUUUCAUUAAUGGGGACUUAGCUAUAGAGAAGCAAAAGUUUUAAUAUGCCCCAACUUUCUAGCUUGCUUUCUAGACACUUCAGGUCAUUUCCUCUCAGCUGAGAUUGAAGCCUCUCUUUUGGUUGAACUGAGAUAUCUUUCUCCCAGUGAGCCUUCAUUAAAGCCUUUACAUCAAAGUGCUUCAAACCCAGACCAGACACUGCACUACCGGUAGCUCAGGGCCAACUGGCAAGGCCCAGGCGUCUCUCUGUAAACAUUUAUUUGGCUCCACUCCUAAGUGGCGAUGAGGAAGCCAUGGCAAUUCGCUGUCCACAUACCAGUCCAAAGAGAAGAGACUCGGAGACAGAUUCAAGUUUCUAGCUGGCACAACCUGAUGGUCCUAACUCAUAUCCCCUCAGAGGCCCCACAUUCUCUUUCUGAGGCAAGAGACCAUAACAAAUGAAGAUCAGUUGAAUAAACUAGAGCUGUAUCGUC